CAAGCACGAGUCCGGAAGUGAGGGAGGGAGGACUUUGGUUCGCAGCCGCCUCCCAGCUGGAACCUCAUCCUUAGCGCUCGGCCACGGGCGGCGUAACUCGGGGUUCCGCCUCGGAAUACCUCCCACUUUUCUUGUCUAAGAGGAGCAGUAGCAAGCUGAGCUCAGAGCGAAGCUGGCGAGCCAAGGAGAUAACCCUCGGUGGGGAUGCCCAGAGGGUGCCUCCUCCACGCCCCUCGAAACCGACUCUCAUUGCCGCUGCUGCAAAGCAACCUGAGGUGCGCCACCUACCCGACUGAGGCUGCGCAAGUCCCGGGGUCUGGGCGGGGUGGUCCUCGUGCGCGCCGCGUCGCCGUGGAGACGAGGGCGGGCCCGCGCGAGACUGGCGUCUAGAGGCGCGCGAAGCGCUGAGGCGGGCGUGGACCGCGCGGGAGUUAAGAAGCGGGUCCCGGACCGCCCUAUACCGCCGGGUUUUCUCCCAGCGUCAGGCCCGAUGGCUCGGCUUCCCCAGUUAGAAGGGGAAGAUAAAAGACUUUGAUUCAUGAAGAAUCUGCUCACUGAGAAGUGUAUAUCAAGCCACAAUUUCCAUCAAAAAGUGAUUAAGCAGAGAAUGGAGAAGAAGGUUGAUUCCAGGUAUUUUAAGGAUGGUGCAGUUAAGAAACCUUAUUCUACAAAGACACUGUCCAACAAGAAGUCUUCUGCAUCCUUUGGGAUCCGGAGGGAGUUACCUAGUACCAGUCAUCUAGUGCAGUAUUGUGGCACACAUACUUGUACCCGACAGGGCCGGUUAAGAGAACUGCGCAUCAGAUGCGUGGCCAGAAAGUUCUUAUAUUUAUGGAUUCGAAUGACUUUUGGAAGAGUAUUUCCCUCUAAAGCCAGAUUUUACUAUGAGCAGCAAUUACUACGGAAGGUCUUCGAAGAAUGGAAAGAAGAGUGGUGGGUUUUCCAUCACGAGUGGAAACUCUGUGUUCGAGCUGACUGUCACUACAGGUAUUACCUGUAUAACCUGAUGUUCCAGACCUGGAAGACCUACGUGCGUCAGCAACAGGAGAUGAGGAACAAGUACAUUAGAGCUGAGCUUCAUGAUGCAAAGCAAAAGAUGCGACAGGCCUGGAAGUCCUGGUUGAUCUACGUGGUUGUUCGUAGGACCAAACUUCAGAUGCAGACUACGGCUCUGGAGUUUAGGCAACGGAGUAUCUUACGGGUGUGGUGGAGCAUGUGGAGGCAGCGACUAGGACAGCUCCGCGUGAGCCGUGCCCUCCAUGCCUCUGCUUUGAAGCACAGGGCCCUGAGCCUCCAGCUGCAGGCUUGGUCACAGUGGCAGGAACAGCUCCUGUAUGUCCAGAAGGAGAAACAGAAGGUUGUCUCUGCAGUGAAACAUCAUCAGCACUGGCAAAAGCGGAGAUUUCUAAAAGCCUGGCUUGAAUACCUGCAAGUCCGCAGAGUGAAGCGACAGCAGAAUGAGAUGGCUGAGCGAUUCCAUCAUGUCACUGUGCUCCAGAUACACUUCUGUGACUGGCAGCAGGCCUGGGAGCGGAGGGAGAGCUUGUACGCCCACCAUGCCCAGGUGGAGAAACUGGCCAGGAAGAUGGCCCUGCGGCGCGCCUUUACUCGCUGGAAACACUACAUGCUGCUGUGUGCAGAAGAAGCUGCCCAGUUUGAGAUGGCAGAAGAGCACCACAGGCACAGCCAGCUGUAUUUUUGCUUUAGGGCCCUAAAAGACAAUGUGACCCACGCCCAUCUCCAGCAAAUAAGAAGGAAUCUUGCUCACCAGCAGCAUGGUGUCACGCUGCUGCACAGGUUCUGGAACCUCUGGUGGUCUCAGAUUGAGCAGAAAAAGGAAAGAGAGCAGCUCCCCUUACUGCAUGCUGCCUGGGACCACUACAGGAUAGCACUGCUGUGCAAGUGUAUCAAAUUGUGGCUACAGUAUACUCGGAAGAGGCGGUACAAGCAGCUGCUACAGGCCAGAGCAAAUGGUCAUUUCCAGCAGAGAGCCCUGCCUGCUGCCUUCCACACAUGGAAUAGACUCUGGCGAUGGCGCCACCAGGAAAAUGUCCUCAAUGCAAGAGCAACACGUUUCCACAGGGAGACAUUAGAGAAGCAAGUAUUUUCUAUCUGGAGGCAGAAGAUGUUUCAGCAUCGAGAAAACCGCCUGGCAGAGAGAAUGGCCAUCCUUCACGCAGAGGGACGGCUUCUGCAUAGGUCUUGGUUCAUGUGGCACCAGCAGGCAGCAGCACGUCACCAGGAGCAGGAGUGGCAAACAGUGGCCUAUGCCCACCACUGCCACGGGCGACUCAAGAAAGCUUUCUGCCUCUGGAGGGAAAGUGCCCAAGGGCUCAGAACAGAGAGGAGGGCAGCAGAAUUCCACAUGGCCCAGCUCCUGCGUUGGGCCUGGAGCCAGUGGAGGGAGUGCCUGGCCCUGCGGGGAGCAGAGCGGCAGAAGCUGAUGCGAGCAGAGCUGCACCACCAGCACAGUGUGCUACACAGGGCGCUGCAGGCGUGGGUGACUUACCAGGGCAGGGUGCGGAGCAUCCUCCAGGAGGUGGCAGCGAGGGAGAGCCAGCACAACAGGCAGCUGCUGCGCGGGGCAUUACGUCGCUGGAAAGAGAACACCAUGGCCCGAGUGGAUGAAGCCAAAAAAACCUUUCAAGCAAGUACUCAUUACAGAAGGACCAUAUGUUCCAAGGUCCUGGUCCAGUGGCGGGAAGCUGUGUCAGUGCAGAUAUAUUACCGACAGCAGGAGGACUGUGCCAUCUGGGAGGCCCGGAAGGUGCUGGACAGGAGCUGUCUGCAGACCUGGUUUCAGCGCUGGCGGAACUGCAGCCAGAGGUCAGCCCAGCAGAGACUGCAGCUAGAGAGGGCAGUCCAACACCACCACCGGCAGCUGCUGCUGGAGGGGCUGGCCCGGUGGAAGAUGCACCAUCCGGAGUGUGUCAGGAAGAGGCUCCUGCAUAGGCAGAGCACCCAACUCCUGGCACAGAGACUCAGCCGGACCUGCUUCCGCCAGUGGAGACAACAGCUGGCAGCCAGGAGGCAGGAGCAGUGGGCGACAGUGCGGGCCCUGUGGUUCUGGGCCUUCUCGCUGCAGGCAAAGGUGUGGGCCACGUGGCUGGCCUUUGUACUGGAAAGGAGGAGAAAGAAGGCGCGGCUGCAGCGGGCGCUGCAGGCCUACCAGGGGCAGCUCCUCCAGGAGGGUGCCACGCGGCUCCUGCGCUUUGCAGCCAGCAUGAAGGCCUCCCGGCAGCAGCUGCAGGCCCAGCAGCAGGUCCAGGCGGCUCACAGUGUCCAUCGUGCCGUCCGCCGCUGUGCUACGCUCUGGAAACAGAAAGUGCUGGGCCGGGGCGGGAAGCCUCAGCCCCUGGCAGCCAUCGCACCCAGCGGGAAAGUGACGUUUGAGGGUCCCCUUCUCAACCGCAUUGCUGCUGGGGCUGGGGAUGCCACCCUUGAGACCAAGAGGCCGCAGGCUCCUCGGCCUCAGGGAGCUCUGGGCCGCCUGGCUGCUGAGGAGCCCCACGCCCUGGAGCUCUACACUGCCCACUCAGCGAGGAAGCAGCCACGACGCCCACACUUCCUGCUGGAGCCUGCGCAGAGCCAGAGGUCCCUGGGGCCUCAGAAGCCACAGGAACAUGGCCUAGGCAUGGCUCAGCCAGCAGCCCCCUCCCUGACGCGGCCCUUCCUGGCAGAGGCCCCAACAGCACUGGUCCCACACAGCCCCCUGCCUGGGGCCCUGUCAAGCACCCCUGGCCUGAAGCAGCCCCCGACGGCAAGCACAGGCCCGGAGCUGCUGCUGCUGCCUCCUUCCUCCUUCAUGUCCUGCGGGGCGGCUGCACCAGCCAGGUUGUCAGCACAGCCGGCUGCUCCUAGGGAUAAGCCCCCGGUCCCCUCAUCCCUGGCCAGUGUCCCUGACCCCCAUCUACUCCUUCCUGGGGACCUCUCAGCCACCAGGGCUGGGCCUGGACUUUCAACUGCAGGCAGCCUGGACCUUGAGGCUGAACUUGAGGAGAUCCAGCAGCAACUACUGCACUACCAGACCACCAAGCAGAACCUCUGGUGCAGAGAAGGGCCGGGCGCGGUGGCUCACACCUGUCAUCCCAGCACUUUGAGAGGCCGUGAUCUGGGCAGAUCACGGGGUUAGGAGUUCGAGACCAGCCUGGCCAAUAUGGUGAAACCCCAUCUCUACUAAAAAUACAAAAAUUAGCCGGGCAUGGUGGUGCAUGCAUGUAGUCCCAACUACUUGGAAGGCUGAGGCAGAAGAAUCGCUUCAACCUGGGAGGCGGAGGUUGCAGUGAGCCGAGAUCGCGCCAUUGCACUCCAGCCUGGGCGACACAGCAACACUCCAUCUCAAAAAAAAAGGGCAGGGACAGGCCCGAGACCCAGCUGCACUCAGUGGUCUGGGGACCACCAACAUGCAGCAACCUCAGAGCUUCCAGGGCAACAGACUGGCGCCUCAUCCUUGGCUCUGCACAGGGGGAGAGAGACAAGGAGUGUUUUCGCCCAGGCCCACCUGAGUUGCUGUCUGCUGGGGAGGGCGGAGGAGACUGGGAGAGGAAAAAAGAACAAGUGUUUGGCUCCCAAGCAGGGGCCUGCAGCUCACAUUAGGGGCCCUACCAGACCACCUCUCUCCACCCGAUACCUGCAUCAGAAUUAGCUGAGAUGCCUCUCCCUGAGCCGGAUGGGGCUCUGCCAAGGACCCAGCCUGGCAGGCAGUGGGUAUCUCCACCCCUCAGGUCCUGCCGAAGGCAAGCGAACAGCCUGCGCAGGUGGCUGGAGCUGAGCAGAGAGGAGCCGGGGUCUGAGGACCAGGAAGUAGAACAGCAGGUGCAGAAAGAGCUGGAACAGGUGGAAAUGCAGAUCCAGCUGCUGGCAGAGGAGC